UACGUAGGGGGCUAGCGUUGUCCGGAAUCAUUGGGCGUAAAGCGCGUUUAGGCGGCCCGGUAAGUCCGCUGUGAAAGUCCAGGGCUCAACCCUGGGAUGCCGGUGGAUACUGUCGGGCUCGAGUCCGGAAGAGGCGAGUGGAAUUCCUGGUGUAGCGGUGGAAUGCGCAGAUAUCAGGAGGAACACCAAUAGCGAAGGCAGCUCGCUGGGACGGUACUGACGCUGAGACGCGAAAGCGUGGGGAGCGAACAGG
rnacentral:rRNA from 1 species